AUUGACAGCUCGCGGCAGGCCUAACACAUGCAAGUCGAACGAGUGGCGGACGGGUGAGUAAUGUCUGGGAAACUGCCUGAUGGAGGGGGAUAACUCCUGGAAACGGUAGCUAAUACCGCAUACCAUCAGAUGUGCCCAGAUGGGAUUAGCUAGUUGGUGGGGUACCGGCUCACCAAGGCGACGAUCCCUAGCUGGUCUCAGAGGCUGACCAGCCACACUAGAACUGAGACACGGUCCAGACUCCUACGGUAGGCAGCAGUGGGGAAUAUUGCACAAUGGGCGCAAGCCUGAUGCAGCCAUGCCGCGUGUAUGAAGAAGGCCUGCGGGUUGUAAAGUACUUUCAGCGGGGAGGCGUUACCCGCAGAAGAAGCACCGGCUAACUCCGUGCCAGCAGCCGCGGUAAUAC
rnacentral:rRNA from 1 species